rnacentral:lncRNA from 1 species
CCCUUUCCACUCUGAAAUUAGCUUAAAAAAAUACUUAAACUCACUUCACUACCUCUCUCCUGAUCCAAGUCCUUGCUCUUAGACAAGAGCUUGAAGAGUUUGAUUUUGGAAGUAAACUGAAUUUUUCUAAAAUUUGAUUCAUUAGGAAACACAUAAAAGAAGAAUAUGAGCACUUUAUCCCUUAUACAUUACUUCCUCCGAUGCCCUGACCUCAUCUUUUUCGCUCAGAAAGUCCUUUCACCUAAAGCCCUAAUGAUUGCUUAC